AAAAAGAAAAAAAAACAAAAGCUCUAUUUCUCCUCUCUUUCUCCCUGGCCAGGCGCGGGCGGCGUGCAUCCUGCGCUGCAGAGGCGGCGGCGGGCGCGUGGCCGGGCUACGGGCGGGCGGUUGGGGCGGCGUCGGCCGGGCGCGUGGCCACGCGUGCCAGGGGCGGCGGCGGGUGCACGGUCUGGAGGGCGUCGAGCGGCGCGGUCUGCCGCGGGGGAUGGGGCGGCGAGCUGGUGGCGUGGUCAGGCGCGAUGGCGCACGGGGUACACGGCGAUGGGUUUGAGGAGCGGACGCAAGGCCGGGGCGGCGGCGACACCAUGGCGCGAGCCGGAGUGGGGCGCCGGUGCUGGAGGCGUAGCAAGGCGGACCAGCCGGACGCGGAGUCGCCGCAGCGGCGCGGCGAGAGCAGUCGGCAAGGGCGUAGGGCGGCACGGCAGCGAGCCGGAGGGGAGCGGCGCGUGAGUCAGAGGCGCGGGCGGACCGGCAGGCCGCGCCGGAGCUUUUUCCCUUCCAAGGGUCGCUGCCCUCCUCUCUCCUGGCUGUGCUUGGCGCGUCCCCGGUCACCGCUGUGGCUGAGACGGCCGCGACCAGGCACGCACCGAUUGCUGCCACGGUGCCUGUCCUCCUGCGGAACGCCGUCGGCCCCGUCGACGACGCAGCCGCGCGGUGCUUGUGCCGCCGGACGCCAACAGGAUGGCCUGGGCGGCCGCGUCAGACCUCGUGGUCAUGGAGGUGGAUUUGUUAUCCGAGGUGUCCGCUGAAUUCUGGAUGAACUGCCACCACAACAGAAGGUAAAUGCUGCUUGUGGCCAGUAGUCUGUGUUGUGCCUCCCGCCGAGGCCCUCACCAUCGCGCUUCCAGGCUAUUUUGAGCGCCUGUGUCCCUCCCCGCGGCUAGCUACGCCCGCACCAUCGCAUUAUUUUCCGCGCGUGUGUCGCUCUUCCUGCUCAACCCAGGGUGCUCCCACCCUCCAGCGUGAUAUUUGCAUUUGAUGGUUUCCUGCAAAUGACAGAAUGUUGCUGUGGAGAAAUGUUGCGAGUGUUUCAGAUAUUUGCAUCUAAUGGUUUCCUUCAAAUGACAGAAUGUUGCCAUAGAGACAUAUCACGAAGGCAUUGCAGAGGAGGCGAAUGCAAUAGUAUUUAUGUUAUUUUCGGAAUAUUGGCUUCAAACUGUGUGCAUGCAACCAGGUAGAAGGAUGAAAUCAACAGAUCAAUGGCCAAGCUUUGAUUUGUUCUCAGAAAAACCAUGGUCAUUAUCAGGGUCAAGUUAUUUGCGCCUUCCAAAAGAUUAUCAUUGGAAUAUGGUGAAUUUUCUCAUAUAUUCCUUUACAAGUAUACUGUAUUAAAUAGUAGCUUGGUCAAGAGAUUCGUUGCGAGAUCACGAAUCAUAUUACGGGUCUCAUGGUAGAAGGAUGAAAUCAACAGAUCAAUGCCCAAGCUUUGAUUUGGUCUCAGAAAAACCAUGGUCAUUAUCAGGGUCAAGUUAUUUGCGCCUUCCAAAAGAUUAUCGUUGGAAUCAGACUGAUAGAGAGGUUCCCAUCAUUUGUGGCAGUGUUUCCCAUCUUUUGUGAUGUUACCAUACAAAGGGAAAUCUUAUGGGCUUCUAGGUUCCAGCAAAUGCUCUUAGACUUCAGUCCUUUUUUUAUUGAAGACCAUUCAGUGGUACUGUGUUGUUGCUUUAUUACCUAAGAUUUUUCUUUUGUUUCUUCACAACUAUGCAGCUCUUCUGAUUCUGAUCAAAGAUGAAGGUACGUUGAAGCCAUCUCAAAAAGGAUAGUACAGUGUAAAGGGCCUCCGAUUUAUGUUCGUAUAAUCACUACUCUUUAAGAAAUACUCCCAUAUGUUACGAAAUUGAAAAUGCUGCUAUUCAUUUCUUUUCAUUUAAUCAAAAUUCUAUUCUAAGAUUCCUCAAUACUUUGUCUCUCAAAACAGGUCGUGCUGUAGAUCAUGUUUCUUUUUGCAUGGGUGUUGUUCAGGAUGUUUCACUCACAAAUAAUACUACAUCGAUUCCCCUACAGAGAAAGUACACGAAAUUGAAUAAAGUUUACUGUCACUUUAAGAGUUAUAUUUCUCAACCUGUGCCUUGCCUGCCAUAGCUGUGACAACAUAUCCUUAUGACUUUGUUUAGGAUGCUUAAUUUUCUUCCCAACUGCCCACUCUGCUCAGAAGUGUAUAUGCCGUUCUAUACUGAAGCAUGCUGCCACAUUCAGCUUAUUCAACAUAAUUUUCUUACCACAUUCAGUCUUAGAGUAAUGUAUGGAGUAUCCAUGUUAUGCUUCAGUACGGACUUCGAAAACAGAAAUCUAUGUACGCCUGAAUAUACUCAGUUUGGAUCUUUGAAACCCGACUUUUAAUUUCUAGAUCGAAAUUACAUAAAUAUAUUUCUUAACACAUUCAAAAAUUGUUGUUGUGCAAUAUUUUAGAAAUAUUUCAUGGAAAGCACACAAUAUUUUAGAAAUAAUUGCAACAUUUAGAACAUAUGGUCAACCUUAAAUGACUAACACAGUUUUUUUCUAGGGUUCACUCUCUAUUGAAAGCAUCAAGUUACCUGUCCCUUUUUGCAUUGGAGUUUUGGGUGCCUAGAGAGUUCAGAUGACUGAAACUGAGGUGCAAGUAUUGUCAAUACUGGAUAAAGGGUGUUCUGACUUUGUACUGAUGUGGUUAGGACCAAAAUGAUGCUCAAGCAGCUACAUUCAGAUGUCUGCAUAUGACGUUUACAAAUGUCCGGUGCUCACGCUACCUACAAGAGUAAACACUAUUUAGAUGGUAGUGUAGUUAUAUUAAAUAUAUUUUCCCCGUAGUUGGUUUUAUGUUGAGUCGGAGAAAAAUGGCCAUGUAGAUCCAGAAGUAAUCACUUUUACUACAAACAAAAGGCCAUGGGUUUGAUAUGUGCCAGCACAGAAAUGAUAUUCAGCUCAUUUAGACAUAUGUUUGCCUUACUAUGGUGAGGCCCUGGACAUGUUGUCAGGAUCAUGGCAACUAUAGCACACCUUAUCAGUGUGUAUGUUGCAUUUCUGGUUGAUGACCAUGAUCGAUUUUCAGACCAA